GAUAAACGUUUUGCGGCGUGCCUGAUGCAUGCAAGUCGAACGACCUGAUUUUUCGCAAGAUUGAUCAGGGAGUGGCGAACGGCUGAGUAACGCGUAAGUAACCUACCCUUAAGUGGGGGAUAACUUGCCGAAAGGCAGGCUAAUACCGCAUGUGCUAGUAAACGUCAGUUUAUUAGCAAAGCUUUUGCGCUUGAGGAGGGGCUUGCGUCUGAUUAGCUUGUUGGUAGGGUAACGGCCUACCAAGGCGAUGAUCAGUAGCUGGUCUGAGAGGACAACCAGCCAGACGGGGACUGAGAUACGGCCCUGACUCCUACGGGAGGCAGCAGCAAGGAAUUUUGCGCAAUGGGCGAAAGCCUGACGCAGCGACGCCGCGUGGGGGAUGACGGCCUUCGGGUUGUAAACCCCUUUUCUCGGGGAAGAAAUAUGACGGUACUCGAGGAAUAAGUCUUGGCUAACUACGUG
rnacentral:rRNA from 1 species